GUCUACGGCCACGCCACCCUGAAUGAGCCUGAUCUUGUCUGAUCUCAGAAGCUAAGGAGGGUCGGGCCUGGCUAGUACUUGGAUGGGAGACCACCUAGGAAGACCAGGUGCUGUAGGCC
rnacentral:rRNA from 1 species